UUUCCUACGGGUGGCUGCAGUGGGGAAUUUUGGACAAUGGGCGCAAGCCUGAUCCAGCCAUGCCGCGUGCGGGAAGAAGGCCUUCGGGUUGUAAACCGCUUUUGUCAGGGAAGAAAUCUUCUGGGCUAAUACCUCGGGAGGAUGACGGUACCUGAAGAAUAAGCACCGGCUAACUACGUGCCAGCAGCCGCGGUAAUACGUAGGGUGCAAGCGUUAAUCGGAAUUACUGGGCGGAAAGCGUGCGCAGGCGGUUGUGCAAGACAGGUGUGAAAUCCCCGGGAUUACCCUGGGAACUGCACUUGUGACUGCACGGCUGGAGUGCGGCAGAGGGGGAUGGAAUUCCGCGUGUAGCAGUGAAAUGCGUAGAUAUGCGGAGGAACACCGAUGGCGAAGGCAAUCCCCUGGGCCUGCACUGACGCUCAUGCACGAAAGCGUGGGGAGCAAACAGGAUUAGAUACCCCGGUAGUCA
rnacentral:rRNA from 1 species